ensembl:antisense RIKEN cDNA A230020J21 gene
AGUAUCUAGUCGUUCCAGUCUUUACCUGAUUGCCCAGCACUGCUGUGGCACAAGCCGUCGACACCUCCUUGGGUCCAAACCAUACCGAGGCGACGGGGGAGGGCAAGCCCAGGAUGAAGACCUGGGCCACGGAGCACAGGAUCUGCCCCAGCAUGGUGACCCAGAAGAGGUGCCGCUGCACGCUGCCGCACUUGACCCAGGCUCCCAGGCAGUUGAGGCCGGAGCCCAGCAGCGCCGUGAGCCGCAGGCCUCGCGUGUCCAGCAGCCAGGUGGCCGGGAAGAUGAGGGGCACGUAGGCCACCAUGUACACCAUGGACAGCCAGUUGAUGUGCAGCGGCGACACCUCGUAGAAGUCCUCGAACACGUUGCUGAUGCUGCUGUACUGGAUCCACUGGAAGGCGUUCACCAGCGAGUAAAGGCUGAAGAUGAGCAGCACCACGAAGCGCAUCGGCGACAGCGCUGUGCGCGGGGGACACGCGGGGCAUGGGACGUCCUCCCCGUCGCCCGCGGGCAACAGCCGGGCCUGGGUCUCCUCCUCCGCCGCUAUCAGGGCUUGCGGCCCUCCCUGGGCUCCCGCGACCAGCGGGCCGAGCCCGGGGCCUCCGUUCAGCGCCUCAGGCCCGUUUUGCGGUACCAAGCGCGCCUCCCCGUCCGGGGCGCCCUUGGGCACUGGAAGGUAUCCCUUCCCCAGCGGGUGCCCGGGCGCCACGGCCGGCCCCACCUCGUCAUCGGGCCGCGCCAUGCCUCCCGGCUCCCCGCCCCGCCGCCCCUUAGUGCUCCUCGCCGGCUCCUAGGUCCCACCCGGUUCAGCGCGCUCGCCUGCGCCGCUUGCUGACUAAGUGAAGCAGAGCUCACCGCGCCUGGCUCUUGCCGACAGUCCCCGCCCCCAGGGCAUCUCGUAUCGCGUAGUGCGACCCUCCAUCCAAUCAUUGAGCGUUUCGGCAGUCCAGAAAACCAAUCGGGGAGUUGCCGAGAAGAGGGGCGGGGUCAAGCUUGUGAGACUGUAAGAGGAGCCCAAGGCAGGCGUUCUCUACGCUGUGGUUUGCUGGAGCUGCCAGGCCUUUCUCUGCGCUCGUUCCGCAGCGUUUAGCCUCAGGUUAUCUUGGAAGGAGAGCGCCAGAAAAGCAUUUCCGUCCGCCCAGAGAAAGAGGCUUCCUCAGAAGCAGGCCUUUGCGUUGAUUGAGCUGAGCGGCUCCAUCCGCGCAGAGGACUGAAGGAGGCCUAAGCCUGCUUGAAUUGUCACACAAUUGUUCACACCAAGUACUUUCAAUCUGAACUUACAAUGGCAGAGCCCAUACCUAAAGGGUGUCUUCAGGGUACUCCUGAAGAGAAGCACCUACGGACUUCUGUAACAAGCUCCUUGCAUAGCAAGGAUACCUUUCUUUCACCAGAGGCAGUCAACAGUUGGAUAGGACACCGAUUUCCUUACUUGGACAGCUACAUGGUUGCUGCCGUCAUCCCCGACAAGAUUAACAAACUUGUCUGACAGGGAUCUUGUGGAUAUGAUUCCUGAAUUCCACGGAAUUCUUAGAAAGCUGAGCCCUGCAGUGCUUGAGAUUUCUCCUGAUGUUGUUGCCCUAUGAAAAGUAAAAUGGAUCCAUCUAAGGGAAGAAUUAGAUACAAUUCAUACACCUGUUUCACAAAGCUCC